CUCUGCUCACUGCUGGUGUUACGAGUUCCUCCCUGGCUCCCACAGAGUUGGGGCAGGAGGGAAGCCUGCAGGCUGAGGACAGAGAAACAUCAGCUGGGCAGGCCAGCCAUUGUUUUUUGGUUGGAGUUUGGAGUCUCUGACUGAAAACCCAGCACUCAAGCCUUCCUGAGAGCCGUGGACGCACCCUGCCAUGUUCCAUGCAGGAGCUGAUGGUCCGUGGCAGUCUCUAUUCUCAGAGGAUGGCCAGAGACAGUGCUUCUGAGCUUUGAGAGGAUUCAGUGUGUUGGCCAUCCCCAGUGAAGUGGGUCUCCUAAAAGUCACCCUGAGCAGCCCUUCUCAAAGCCUGGAGAAGAGCUAGCUCUCCAGCCAGGGUCCUAUGGGUAAGUAGAGUCAGGACUUCCUUAUACCUCCAGCUUGACCAAGCAAAACACAAACCCUGACCUGCUGGACUGAAGGAGCAAAUUACAGGUGUACUCUGCCAAGUCAUGGACUGCGGAGGAGACAUGGUAGUGCUUUAAGUAAAGACUAGUACGGCUUCCAGCCCAGUGGCUCGAAGCACUUUAACUCUCACCUACUGCUUUCAUUCUACACAUGCAAGGGUCACCAUCCAAAGGUGCUAUGCAAAGUACAGCAGAGACAGGGCUCUGAACAGAAUUCUGGACCAGCAGAGAGGGCAUGGGAGAGCUUUGGGGGCCAUGGCUAGCUCCCACCCUGGCAGUCUGGACAGAAGUGGUAGGGAGAACUACUGGUUGCUCACUGUUGGUAAGUAUGCAGGGAGUCUGAAUCCAGAGAGGCUCCUUCCUAAGAUCUCAGAAAAGGCAGCCACUCCAGGGCUACCCUCCUCACCUGCUCUGUGUCAGUGUGGGUAUUGCUCCAUAUUUUCAGGAGAACUAGUGCCUGUACCCCCCCCCCCCUACACACACACCAAAUCACAUGAAAUGGUGUCCUGUCAUGCAAUCUACGUGCACCCUCCUAACACUGAACACAUCUCUAGAGUCUCCCCAACUCCUUUCUCUCCCUUUUGAGUUUUGAGACAGGAUCUUACUCUCUAGUUCAGGCUGGCCUGGAAAUCACUAUGUAGCCCAGGCUGGCCUCAAACUGGUGAUCCACCUGUCUCAGCCUCCAAAUGCUGGGAUAACAGCCAUGCAGUGUUGCACCCAUCUCUAGAUCUCUUUCAAUAUCCAUCACAGUUGUGAAUGCUAUACAGUUACACUGUGUCAUUCAGGAAUAGACAGGGCAAGAAAGGGCAUACCCUCUGUACAGGAAAUGUUUUCUGAGGUUGUUUAAACACUGAAAUCUGGUGUCUGCAGAUACUGAAGGCUGGCUCUACCUAGCUCCUGAGAGAUUUGGCUCACACUAGCAUGGCUAUAGAUAGCCCAGCUUGCUCUGUGAGAUCCUUUCCCAUAUUACACUGGGCUUUGCCUGGAGAAACCCAGGCUAUAGGCAGCCAGCUUUGCCCUCACUUGGGGCACGAACCGUUUUGAGCGACUGACCCAUCCUAAUACCCUCUCAGAAUCUCUUAAUAUUACCUAGGUGGCAGUUGCAGGUGUACAGCAAGCACCCCAUCAACUCAGGAGCUGCAGGCUAGAUCUCAUCAGGACAAAGCUUGGGUCCUUCCUAAGCCAGGUGCGGGCUGCCUUCUGCUCUUUUGUGGUGGCUGUACACAAGCUCAGUAUUACAGUUAGUGGGCUGUCCUGGCCUGGGUGCCCUGGAUUCUCAAGGUACUCAGGCAACCUCAGCCCAGAGUUCCAAAACAGUGAGGUAGUGUGUGGCCUCCACUAUAAGAAGAAAGCGAGAUGCUUAGAGUGAAGCGCCCAGCAACCAACACUUAUCCCUUUGCUCUGUAUGCAUAUAAGGCCAGCACACGGCUAGGCAGUGUCUGGAGCGCACAUCACACACCGGCCAGUCCCCACAUCCCCAUUAGUCCGUUUCCCCAGCGCGUUACC